AGCAGCCGCGGUAAUUCCAGCUCCAAUAGCGUAUAUUAAAGUUGUUGCAGUUAAAAAGCUCGUAGUUGAAUUUCGGGGUCAGUAGGUUGGUCGUGCCACUGGUAUGUACUGGCUUCACUGAUUCCUCCCUCUUGUAGAACCGUAAUGCCAUUAAGUUGGUGUUGCGGGGAAACAGGACUGUUACUUUGAAAAAAUUAGAGUGUUUAAAGCAGGCUAACGCUUGAAUACAUUAGCAUGGAAUAAUGAAAUAGGACGUUUGAUCCUAUUUUGUUGGUUUCUAGGAUUGACGUAAUGAUUAAUAGGGAUAGUUGGGGGCAUUAGUAUUCAAUUGUCAGAGGUGAAAUUCUUGGAUUUAUUGAAGACUAACUACUGCGAAAGCAUUUGCCAAGGAUGUUUUCAUUAAUCAAGAACGAAAGUUAGGGGAUCGAAGACGAUCAGAUACCGUCGUAGUCUUAACCAUAAACUAUGCCGACUAGGGAUCGGAUGAUGUUAAUUUUUUGAUGAUCAUUCGGCGCCUUAC
rnacentral:rRNA from 1 species